GACGAACGCUGGCGGCGUGCUUAACACAUGCAAGUCGAACGAAGUGGCGAACGGGUGAGUAAUACGUGGGUAACCUGCCCUCCUUUUUGGGAUAAUCCUUGGAAACGGGGUCUAAUACCGCAUAUAGGGGGAUGGGCUAGCGGCCUAUCAGCUUGCUGGUGGGGUGAUGGCCUACCAAGGCGGUGACGGGUAGCCGGCAUGAGAGGGUGACCGGAGACUGAGGGACGGGGAUACGGCCUAGGGUGCUACGGGAGGGAGAAGUGGGGGAUAUUGCAGAAAGGGUGAAAGACUGAUGCAGCGACGCCGAGUGGGGGAUGAAGGCUUUCGAGUUGUAAACCUCGUUAGAUAGCGAACGGGUAGGUAGAGAAGAAGCGCCGGCUAACUACGUGCCAGCAGCCGAGGUAAUAC
rnacentral:rRNA from 1 species